GAUGAACGCUAGCGGCAGGCCUAACACAUGCAGGUCGAGGGGUAGGGUUAGCUUGCUAACUUGAGACCGGCGCACGGGCGCGUAACGCGUAUGCAAUCUACCUUGUACAGGGGGAUAGCCCAGAGAAAUUUGGAUUAAUACCCCAUGGUGUUAUGAUGUGGCAUCACAUUAUAACUAAAGUUCCAACGGUACAAGAUGAGCAUGCGUCCCAUUAGCUAGUUGGUGUGGUAACGGCAUACCAAGGCAAUGAUGGGUAGGGGUCCUGAGAGGGCGAUCCCCCACACUGGGGCUGAGACACGGACCAGACUCCUACGGGAGGAAGCAGUGAGGAAUAUUGGUCAAGGGGCGCAAGCCUGAACCAGCCAUGCCGCGUGCAGGAUGACGGUCCUAUGGAUUGUAAACUGCUUUUAUACGGGAAGAAACACUCCUACGUGUAGGAACUUGACGGUACCGUAAGAAUAAGGAUCGGCUAACUCCGUGCCAGCCGCCGCCGUAA
rnacentral:rRNA from 1 species